rnacentral:rRNA from 1 species
GAUGAACGCUGGCGGCGUGCCUAAUACAUGCAAGUCGAACGGAAAGGCCCGGCUCUUGUUGGGUUCUCGAUUGGCGCAGGGGGGAGUAACACGUGUGUAACCUCCACUUGACAUUGGGAUAACUCUUGGAAACUGGGGCGAAUACCCGGGAGGAUCUUCUGCUGCACGUGGGGGAUUGGUAAGUUUCGGCGUUGCUGGCUCGAUUCGCUGCUUAUCAGCUUGCUUGUGAAGUAGUGACUUACCAGGGGUUUGAAGGGUAGCCGGCCUGAGAGGUUGACCAGGCACCUUGGGACUGAGGUACGGCCCAGAAUGCUACGGGAGGCAGUAGUCGGGAGUAUUGCACAACGGGCGGGCGUCAGAUGCAGCAACGCCCCGAGCGGGAUACCCGCCUUCGGGUUGUAAACAGCUUUCGCCUGUGCCGAAGCGAGCGUGACGGUAAUGGGUAAAAAAGCCCCGGCUAACUACGUG